rnacentral:rRNA from 1 species
CCUACGGGAGGCAGCAGUGAGGAAUAUUGGUCAAUGGACGAAAGGCGGAACCAGCCAAGGAGCGUGAGGGAAGACAGCCCGAUGGGGGGUAAACCUCUUUUAUGCGGGGAUAAAGGUGGCCACGUGUGGAUGUUUGCAGGUACCGCAUGAAUAAGGACCGGCUAAUGCCGUGCCAGCAGCCGCGGUAAUACGGAAGGUCCGGGCGUUAGCCGGAUUUAUUGGGUUUAAAGGGAGCGUAGGCCGGUCUUUAAGCGUGCCGUGAAAUUUUGUGGCGCCACCAUGAGAGUGCGGCGCGUACUGGCGACCUUGAGUGCGCGGCAGGCCGGCGGAAUUUGUUGUGUAGCGGUGAUAUGCUUAGAUAUCACGAAGAACCCCGAUUGCGAAGGCAGCCUGCCGCAGCGUUACUGACGCUGAGGCUCGAAAGCGCGGGUAUCGAACAGGAUUAGCUACCCCAGUAGUC